rnacentral:rRNA from 1 species
UGUAAGCGUAUACCAAAGUUGUUGCAGUUAAAACGCUCGUAGUCGGAAUUUGGCAGUUCCGGAUGUGUGCACGUUGUGUGCGCACUUCGCGGGGAUUGCUUUUGUGGUCUUGCGUAGGAUGAGGCACUUUUAUUAGUGAACGUCCUCACGCAACCACUUUUUACUGUGAGAAAAUCAGAGUGCUCAAAGCAGGCAUUUGCCGCGAAUGUAUUAGCAUGGAAUAAUAGAAUAGGACUUGGUUCUAUUUUGUUGGUUUGUUGGGACUGAGUAAUGAUUAAGAGGGACAGUUGGGGGCAUUUGUAUUUCGGUGCUAGAGGUGAAAUUCUUAGAUUACCGAAAGACAAACUGCUGCGAAAGCGUCUGCCAAGGAUGUUUUCAUUGA